CGGGACGGGUGAGUAACGCGUGGGUAACCUGCCUUGUACAGGGGAGUAACAGUUGGAAACGGCUGCUAAUACCGCAUAAGCGCACAGUAUCGCAUGAUGCAGUGUGAAAAACUCCGGUGGUAUAAGAUGGACCCGCGUUGGAUUAGCUAGUUGGUGAGGUAACGGCCCACCAAGGCGACGAUCCAUAGCCGACCUGAGAGGGUGACCGGCCACAUUGGGACUGAGACACGGCCCAA
rnacentral:rRNA from 1 species